rnacentral:rRNA from 1 species
UUGGACGCAGGCCGUUUACUUUGAAAAAAUUAGAGUGUUCAAAGCAGGCCUACGCUUGAAUACAUUAGCAUGGAAUAAUGGAAUAGGACUUUGGUGCUAUUUUGUUGGUUUAUGGGACCGAAGUAAUGAUUAACAGGGACAGUUGGGGCCGUUUAUAUUUCGUUGUCAGAGGUGAAAUUCUUGGAUUUACGAAAGAUAAACUUCUGCGAAAGCAUUCGGCAAGGAUGUUUUCAUUGAUCAAGAACGAAAGUUAGGGGAUCGAAGACGAUCAGAUACCGUCGUAGUCUUAACCAUAAACUAUGCC